UUACAUAUUCAGUAAAACUGUCAAAAGGCAGUGGCACAAAGCCAAGGGUCUAAGAUCUGAUUACAGAUUAUGACAGCCGGUUGCCGUA
rfam:Anaerostipes sp. CAG:276 genomic scaffold, scf120